rnacentral:rRNA from 1 species
AGAGUUUGAUCCUGGCUCAGGAUGAACGCUAGCUACAGGCUUAACACAUGCAAGUCGAGGGGCAGCACAGGUAGCAAUACCGGGUGGCGACCGGCGCACGGGUGAGUAACGCGUAUGCAACUUGCCUAUCAGAGGGGGAUAACCCGGCGAAAGUCGGACUAAUACCGCAUGAAGCAGGGGCCCCGCAUGGGGAUAUUUGCUAAAGAUUCAUCGCUGAUAGAUAGGCAUGCGUUCCAUUAGGCAGUUGGCGGGGUAACGGCCCACCAAACCGACGAUGGAUAGGGGUUCUGAGAGGAAGGUCCCCCACAUUGGUACUGAGACACGGACCAAACUCCUACGGGAGGCAGCAGUGAGGAAUAUUGGUCAAUGGACGCAAGUCUGAACCAGCCAUGCCGCGUGCAGGAAGACGGCUCUAUGAGUUGUAAACUGCUUUUGUACGAGGGUAAACUCAGAUACGUGUAUCUGACUGAAAGUAUCGUACGAAUAAGGAUCGGCUAACUCCGUGCCAGCAGCCGCGGUAAUACGGAGGAUUCAAGCGUUAUCCGGAUUUAUUGGGUUUAAAGGGUGCGUAGGCGGUUUGAUAAGUUAGAGGUGAAAUUUCGGGGCUCAACCCUGAACGUGCCUCUAAUACUGUUGAGCUAGAGAGUAGUUGCGGUAGGCGGAAUGUAUGGUGUAGCGGUGAAAUGCUUAGAGAUCAUACAGAACACCGAUUGCGAAGGCAGCUUACCAAACUAUAUCUGACGUUGAGGCACGAAAGCGUGGGGAGCAAACAGGAUUAGAUACCCUGGUAGUCCACGCAGUAAACGAUGAAUACUAGGUGUUGGGAAGCAUUGCUUCUCGGUGCCGUCGCAAAC